rnacentral:rRNA from 1 species
GAUGAACGCUGGCGGCGUGCCUAAUACAUGCAAGUCGAGCGGACGGACGAGAAGCUUGCUUCUCUGAUGUUAGCGGCGGACGGGUGAGUAACACGUGGAUAACCUACCUAUAAGACUGGGAUAACUUCGGGAAACCGGAGCUAAUACCGGAUAAUAUUUUGAACCGCAUGGUUCAAAAGUGAAAGACGGUCUUGCUGUCACUUAUAGAUGGAUCCGCGCUGCAUUAGCUAGUUGGUAAGGUAACGGCUUACCAAGGCAACGAUGCAUAGCCGACCUGAGAGGGUGAUCGGCCACACUGGAACUGAGACACGGUCCAGACUCCUACGGGAGGCAGCAGUAGGGAAUCGUCCGCAAUGGGCGAAAGCCUGACGGAGCAACGCCGCGUGAGUGAUGAAGGUCUUCGGAGCGUAAAACUCUGUUAUUAGGGAAGAACAUAUGUGUAAGUAACUGUGCACAUCUUGACGGUACCUAAUCAGAAAGCCACGGCUAACUACGUG